AACAAUAUCCUGGUGCUGAGUGAUGACACAUGCAACUCCAGCAUCAGUGAUUUUGUUGA
ensembl:miRNA